AGUCCCAUAAGACCCCAUGUUAAAAUAGACUACUCCGCUACACACCCGCCCAGAGUUGCCGAUUUUGACGUAUCCAGUUUUCGUCCCAUUUACGCUCUCUCAUCUACGCGUAUCAUGUUCCUAUACCAUGGUAAAUGGCUUCAAAGUAUGUGGGAUUUAUCUCUUCGAUCGCGACAUUUUUAGCGAAGAAGACUUUGUACCCUCGGCGGUUAGAGAUCGACCUUCAGAAACCCCAUCAACAGAAAGUAAAGAUAGCAGGGAUCCAAGCCAUUUUCUGAUGGAAACAUCAUGAAUAACACACAUAGUGCUUCAGAUUGUGAAGCAGGU